GUGCUCUCUUUGGCAGCACACAUACUAAAAUUGGAACGAUACAGACAUUAGCAUGGCCCCUGCCCAAGGAUGACAUACAAAUUCGUGAAGUGUUCUAUAUUUUA
rnacentral:snRNA from 1 species